AGGAGGAACAGCCCUAGUGGCGGGGCCAGCCCUGGAAACCUGGAUUCAGCUCCGGCAGGAACUCCGUCUGCAGGGCCUGGAGGCUCCGGGGCGGG
rnacentral:pre_miRNA from 1 species